rnacentral:rRNA from 1 species
AUUGAACGCUGGCGGCAGGCCUAACACAUGCAAGUCGAGCGGCAGCGGGAAAGUAGCUUGCUACUUUUGCCUGCGAGCGGCGGACGGGUGAGUAAUGCCUGGGAACUUGCCCAGUCGAGGGGGAUAACAGUUGGAAACGACUGCUAAUACCGCAUACGCCCUACGCGGGAAAGCAGGGGACCUUCGGGCCUUGCGCGAUUGGAUAUGCCCAGGAGGGUGUAGCAAGUUGGUGAGGUAAUGGCUCACCAAGGCGACGAUCCCUAGCUGGUCUGAGAGGAUGAUCAGCCACACUGGAACGGAGACACGGUCCAGACUCCUAAGGGAGGCAGCAGGGGGGAAUAUUGAACAAUGGGGGAAACCCUGAUGCAGCCAUGCCGCGUGUGUGAAGAAGGCCUUCGGGUUGUAAAGCACUUUCAGCGAGGAGGAAAGGUUGGUGCCUAAUACGUAUCAACUGUGACGUUACUCGCAGAAGAAGCACCGGCUAACUCCGUGCCAGCCGCCGCUGUAAUAC